CGUCCCGCCGGCGACCGGCGCACGGGUGAGUAACACGUAUGCAACCUGGCCGCCACAGGGGGAUAACCCGCGGAAACGCGGCCUAAUACCCCGUGACGCCACCGGAGGGCAUCCUCCGGUGGCCAAAGGAGCGAUCCGGUGGCGGAUGGGCAUGCGGCGCAUUAGCUAGACGGCGGGGUAACGGCCCACCGUGGCGACGAUGCGUAGGGGUUCUGAGAGGAAGGUCCCCCACACUGGUACUGAGACACGGACCAGACUCCUACGGGAGGCAGCAG
rnacentral:rRNA from 1 species